rnacentral:rRNA from 1 species
AGUCGAACGGAAAGGCCCUUCGGGGUACUCGAGUGGCGAACGGGUGAGUAACACGUGGGUGAUCUGCCCUGCACUUUGGGAUAAGCCUGGGAAACUGGGUCUAAUACCGAAUAUGACCGCGCUCUUCAUGGGGUGUGGUGGAAAGCUUUUGCGGUGUGGGAUGGGCCCGCGGCCUAUCAGCUUGUUGGUGGGGUAAUGGCCUACCAAGGCGACGACGGGUAGCCGGCCUGAGAGGGUGACCGGCCACACUGGGACUGAGAUACGGCCCAGACUCCUACGGGAGGCAGCAGUGGGGAAUAUUGCACAAUGGGCGCAAGCCUGAUGCAGCGACGCCGCGUGAGGGAUGACGGCCUUCGGGUUGUAAACCUCUUUCAAUAGGGACGAAGCGCAAGUGACGGUACCUAUAGAAGAAGGACCGGCCAACUACGUGCCAGCAGCCGCGGUAAUACGUAGGGUCCGAGCGUUGUCCGGAAUUACUGGGCGUAAAGAGCUCGUAGGUGGUUUGUCACGUUGUUCGUGAAAACUCACAGCUUAACUGUGGGCGUGCGGGCGAUACGGGCAGACUAGAGUACUGCAGGGGAGACUGGAAUUCCUGGUGUAGCGGUGGAAUGCGCAGAUAUCAGGAGGAACACCGGUGGCGAAGGCGGGUCUCUGGGCAGUAACUGACGCUGAGGAGCGAAAGCGUGGGGAGCGAACAGGAUUAGAUACCCUGGUAGUCCACGCCGUAAACGGUGGGUACUAGGUGUGGGUUUCCUUCCUUGGGAUCCGUGCCGUAGCUAACGCAUUAAGUACCCCGCCUGGGGGAGUACGGCCGCAAGGCUAAAACUCA